rnacentral:tRNA from 2 species
UCAUUAAGUGACUGAAAGUAAGUGUAAAUCUUUUAAAUUUAUUAUAAUAGUUGCGUCUAUUCUUAAUGAA